rnacentral:rRNA from 1 species
UACGUAGGGUGCGAGCGUUAAUCGGAAUUACUGGGCGUAAAGCGCACGUAGGCGGCUUGGUAUGUCGGGUGUGAAAUCCCCGGGCUCAACCUGGGAACUGCAUCCGAAACUGCCUUGCUAGAGUAUGGGAGAGGGAAGUGGAAUUUCCGGUGUAGCGGUGAAAUGCGUAGAUAUCGGAAGGAACAUCAGUGGCGAAGGCGGCUCUCUGGGACGGUACUGACGCUGAGACGCGAAAGCGUGGGGAGCGAACAGG